rnacentral:rRNA from 1 species
UACAGAGGUCUCAAGCGUUGUUCGGAUUCAUUGGGCGUAAAGGGUGCGUAGGCGGCGCGGUAAGUCGGGUGUGAAAUCUCGGAGCUUAACUCCGAAACUGCAUUCGAUACUGCCGUGCUUGAGGACUGGAGAGGAGACUGGAAUUUACGGUGUAGCGGUGAAAUGCGUAGAUAUCGUAAGGAAGACCAGUGGCGAAGGCGGGUCACUGGCCCGGUACUGACGCUGAGGCACGAAAGCGUGGGGAGCAAACAGG